UCGGGACUUUAUCGACUGGAACAUCGACUGCGUGGAGGUCGGCGCUCGUGUUUGGCGUGUCUGCUCUGGGCGGCCGUAGAAACAUGGCGGUGCACGGCGACCUCCGUGAAGAGUUCCUGCUAAGCUUUUUAAAGCAGAUGAUGAUCUUAAAUUUAAGGUCUUCAGUGUGAUGAGACCCGUCAGAGAGGGACCAGGAGGGGUGGGGAUGACCUAAUGCCGCAUCGAAACUCCCUCGCACUUCUACUCCGAGGGCUUUGAGUGACGCCCCUCCCCCCCCCCCCGCCGGCCCAUCGCUUGACCCCACGAGGCGGACGGACCGGAUCCAUCGGGACACGGGGAAGAGAGAAAGACGAGGAGCUUGGGGCCAGAUCAUCCAGCGAAACGACCAAACAUGUUUAAACACGACACAAACGGGACUCCAGGGGGGCCGCUGAGGUCUUUUAAGGAACACACACAGAUUCCAGUGACCGGUUUGGGACGUCCGGACACGAGAAGUGACAACCUUCCACAACAUGUGGAACGACUUCGCUUGUGACCGACUGAAAAAGCGUCUCGCUCCUGGAGUUAAAAACGGAGGGACUAUAUUUAAGGACCGUCAGAGGCGGGACGGUUUGUCCCCGGCCUGGCUCGGCGCGGCCUCGGGAGGCUCUCCGCGACCGGCCCAUGUUUGUUUGGACAGCAGGCAGUAAUGCGGCGAGCUGCGGCCCAGGAGACCGAGCGGGAAUGUGGCCGAAAGGUCUCAUCUGGCCUCGUCAAGAGACCCAAACCAUCCUCACUAUGCUGGACCUGCCCGACCGCACCGCACCAGUGAGAUUAAAGGCUAAAGAAGGGAGAUUUUUUCAAAAUAAAAUGGUCCUGUUUUGCACAUCAGCAACAUGUUAAUGUACUUGUACCAAGAACAUAUUGGCAGAAAAGAAAUAAAGCUUUAAGUAAGAGUAAGAAUCACU
ensembl:lncRNA